rnacentral:lncRNA from 1 species
GGAUGAUUGGUCAUUGGAGAUUGAUGUAAGUCAUUAUUCUGUUCUGAAUGCUCUAACAUAUUCAGAUUUCACCUUUAUCAUAUCUACUGCCAUCAAGUCUUAUAAAAGCAGGGUCAUGCAAGUCAUGAAGAGUAUUUUAACUGACUUCUGACCAGAAUUGAAGAUGGUCUUUUGUGUAUCAGCAGAAUCUUACGGUCAGAUGAAUCACUGUUUUUAAUGUGAUGGAAUUGUCAACAAACAUAAUCUUCACUUUAUUUGAGCUGAUAUGAACUCAAAAUGAUUUAUACAGAUCAACCACCAAGAAUACUGUCACUGUGUGGUGUAGUAUUGUGCAUGAUAUGAUAAUAAGGCCUCUGUUUUAUGAGAAUACCAACCACAGAGACAUACCACAUCUAAUUCUUCGUAUAGUUGUAGCUGAAUUUUCUGGCAGUUUACGAUUAACAUCAACAGGAGAUUGUGAUAUCAGCAUGAUGGAGCUCCUCCUCAUUAUAUCCCAUACAAUAAGGCAAAGAACUGGCACUUCAUGCAAAGAGAGGUGGUUUAUUACGGUAUAACAUUUUCGGACGUAAAGGUCCGUCCCUCAUCAGUGCC